AUAACGGCGAGUGAAGCGGCAACAGCUCAAAUUUGAAAUCUGGCGCAAGCCCGAGUUGUAAUUUGUAGAGGAUGCUUCUGGGUAGCGACCGAUCUAAGUUCCUUGGAACAGGACGUCAUAGAGGGUGAGAAUCCCGUAUGUGACCGGCCCGCACCCUUUACGUAGCUCCUUCGACGAGUCGAGUUGUUUGGGAAUGCAGCUCUAAAUGGGAGGUAAAUUUCUUCUAAAGCUAAAUACCGGCCAGAGACCGAUAGCGCACAAGUAGAGUGAUCGAAAGAUGAAAAGUACUUUGGAAAGAGAGUUAAAAAGCACGUGAAAUUGUUGAAAGGGAAGCGCCUGCAACCAGACUUCGUGGCAGUGUUCCGCCGGUCUUCUGACCGGUUUAUUCUCUGUCGCGAGGCCAUCAUCGUCUAGGCCCGCCGGAUAAGACCUUAGGAAUGUAGCUCACCUUCGGGGGAGUGUUAUAGCUUAUGGUGAUGCGGCGAGGCUUGGGCGAGGUCCGCGCUUCGGCAAGGAUGAUGGCGUAAUGGUUGUCGGCGGCCCGUCUUGAAACACGGACCAAGGAGUCUAACAUCUAUGCGAGUGUUCGGGUGUCAAACCCCUACGCGUAAUGAAAGUGAACGGAGGUGGGAACCGCAAGGUGCACCAUCGACCGAUCCUGAUGUCCUCGGAUGGAUUUGAGUAAGAGCAUAGCUGUUGGGACCCGAAAGAUGGUGAACUAUGCCUGAAUAGGGUGAAGCCAGAGGAAACUCUGGUGGAGGCUCGCAGCGGUUCUGACGUGCAAAUCGAUCGUCAAAUUUGGGUAUAGGGGCGAAAGACUAAUCGAACCAUCUAGUAGCUGGUUCCUGCCGAAGUU
rnacentral:rRNA from 1 species